rnacentral:rRNA from 1 species
CGGGAUUGGUAGCAAUACCAUGAGAUUGGCGCACGGGUGAGUAACGCGUAUGCAACCUACCUGUAACAGAGGGAUAGCCCAUAGAAAUGUGGAUUAAUAUCUCAUAGUUCUAUUAGAUCGCAUGAUUUGACAGAUAAAACUCCGGCGGUUAAAGAUGGGCAUGCGUGACAUUAGCUAGUUGGUAAGGUAACGGCUUACCAAGGCUACGAUGUCUAGGGGUUCUGAGAGGAUGAUCCCCCACACUGGUACUGAGACACGGACCAGACUCCUACGGGAGGCAGCAGUGAGGAAUAUUGGUCAAUGGGCGCAAGCCUGAACCAGCCAUCCCGCGUGCAGGAUGACGGCCCUAUGGGUUGUAAACUGCUUUUAUACACCAAGAAAAACACCCACGUGUGGGUGCCCGACGGUAGUGUAUGAAUAAGCAUCGGCUAACUCCGUGCCAGCAGCCGCGGUAAUACGGAGGUAAAAUUGCCAUUGAUACUGAAAAGCUUGAGUACAGGAGAGGUAAGCGGAAUGUGUAGUGUAGCGGUGAAAUGCUUAGAUAUUACACAGAACACCAAUUGCGAAGGCAGCUUACUAAACUGAUACUGACGCUGAUGCACGAAAGCGUGGGGAGCGAACAGGAUUAGAUACCCUGGUAGUCCACGCCGUAAACGAUGCUCACUCGCUGUUUGCGAUACACAGCAAGCGGCCAAGCGAAAGCAUUAAGUGAGCCACCUGGGGAGUACGAUCGCAAGGUUGAAACUCAAAGGAAUUGACGGGGGCCCGCACAAGCGGAGGAACAUGUGGUUUAAUUCGAUGAUACGCGAGGAACCUUACCUGGGCUUAAAUGGGGAACGACAGCUGCCGAAAGGUGGCCUUCUUAGUUUAUUCGAUGAAACGCGAGGAACCUUACCUGGGCUUAAAUGGGGAACGACAGCUGCCGAAAGGUGGCCUUCUUCGGACGUUCUUCAAGGUGCUGCAUGGUUGUCGUCAGCUCGUGCCGUGAGGUGUCGGGUUAAGUCCCAUAACGAGCGCAACCCUUAUCGUUAGUUGCCAGCGGGUCAAGCCGGGGACUCUAGCGAGACUGCCACCGUAAGGUGUGAGGAAGGUGGGGAUGACGUCAAAUCAGCACGGCCCUUAUGUCCAGGGCUACACACGUGUUACAAUGGCCAAUACAAAGGGCAGCUACCGGGUGACUGGAUGCUAAUCUCUAAAAUCGGUCUCAGUUCGGAUCGGAGUCUG